CAAAGAGCCCCGCUCAGCCCGGGGGGCAGCCGGGGCUGGAGGGGGUGGGGACACCCGUGUCCCCCCCAGCCCCACAAGGCCAACCCCAACCAAGCCUUUGCUCUCCUCCUGCAGCCCGUUCAGGCCGGCGGCGUCCAAUGUGGGGAGGCAGGCGGGAUCGGCGGCCCGCCAAUCUCGGGACAAGGAGGAGGUGGAUGUGUUGGGGUAAGUCCUGGAGCUGGGAUGUCCCCAGUGUGGGAAAUGGGGGGAAAUGUAGUCCCCCCAUCCCUCCUGGGCCUGGGGACACCCCAGUGACCAGUGACACCUCACACUCUCU